rnacentral:tRNA from 3 species
GGCGGUGUAGCUCAGUUGGUCAGAGCACACGGUUCAUACCCGUGGUGUCACUGGUUCGAAUCCAGUCACCGCUACCA